AUCCUUCUCACUACAUUAAUGGGUGAGGAUCUUUAGAGGUUUUCAAUUUUGGAAACUUGAAGAGGACCUAGGAGCACUCAUACUAAACAAAGUGGAGGAGGCAAGGAAGGAGGCUAGGCUCAAGGAGUUCAAGGAGCAAAGGGUAUAAACCUACUCCUAAACUUUGUUCUUAUAUAAAUUUGUUUUUGAUGCAUCUUACAUAAACCUAUGCAUCUUGAAGGGGAUUUACAUGACUAGAGCUUUGAUAUUAUUUGAUAACAUGCUUCCGUUGCUUUCGUAUAUAAAUUUUGAAUUGUAUAUGCAUGCUAGUCACUAGAAAUCCCACAUGAAUCUCAUAGAAUUCCCUUCAGAAACUACAUUUCAAUUCUCCCUUUCAUGAAGAUUAGUGUUUGCUAAUCUUCAGGGCUUCCACAAACCAUGAGUGACACCUAGCAAUAUGUCAUGGCUAACCAAGCUAAGUAGAAGUGGUUGGAGAACCUAUCCAGUUACAAUUACAAUGCAAUACAGUCCUUCUCUAAUACUAUACUCUUAAUCAAAUUGUUUGAGUGGUAGUUUGUUUCAUGUCUACUAUCCAAUGUGAUACUUCACUAUAUGAUUCAAUUGAAUAUGAUUUGGAACAAACUUCCUAAGUCAUAUUCAUAUGUUUUGGCCAAAGACUCCCGAAUUAUAUCUCAGAGUAUUCUCCCUCCACCAUGGAAGGUCAGAGAUCCCUUGUUGUGCAUUCAUAUGCCUACAUGACUAGAUAGCCACUCUCGAUGGAAUGCCUUUGACAUGAUCAAAGAUCAAUGACCUAACCAUUAGACAACUAUGAUGCCUCAGGUCAAAGGACUACUUUGCAUAUUGCAACUUACAAGUUCUUACAUGACAUGUAUCUUUGAACUCUCUUUUGAUCGUUGUUCAAUGUACUCGAUUACCUUUUGAGCACCUAUGUGUUUGUCUUAGUAUCCAACACUAAAUGAAUUGAGACUAGUCAUACUUAUGCUUGAGUUAACAUAACAUAUACUAACCUUAGCCGAUUGUCAAUGCCCAAUUGGCAAUCUAUGGCUAGGAACGUUUUAGGAAUGAACAUAAAAGAAAGGUCUCAUUAAUCUAACUUACUUACAUCACUUCUCUCUUAGAUUAUAUACAUUCCUGGGAUUCCCUUAUUGCUUAAACACACAAUACAAUAAAUAGUGAUUACCAAUAAGCUUUCAUUAAACAUAUAAUAGUUUAACACAACAAGUAUUCCAAAAGCUAUUACAUCAAAUGAGUGGCUUUACAGGCAUACUUCCCCAAAAUUCUGCCAAAAGGAAGAAAUCUCCUUAAAAUCGACAAGGGGCUCAAAUUGCUCCCAAAACGGUUAAGAAAGCUAAAGCAUCUUCACAAAAACAAGCAAAAAUUGAUGAUUGCUCACAAAAUAGGCAACAAGCCCUAUAGAUUUCGGCCAAGCAAGGGAAAGUGGUUGAAACAAGACACAAAACAAGCCUAAUUUCUCCCAUGGACGAAUCAAGACACAAAUCAAAGCAAAACCCACCCAAAGGCAUGGCUUUGGAAGUCUAUAAAUACAAGGUCCCAAGACAAGCAUAAGGUCGACAAUUUCUAUAUUAAAGGUCAACAAUUCUACAUCUAGAGGAACCCCUGCACCAAAUCUUUGAAGACUAAUACGCUGCCAAAUCUCCCUUCAAAGAACGCACAACCAAAGCCGAAGCUUUCUUUCGACCAAAGUCGAAGCAUUCCCUAGAAUAAUCAACAAGCACCUGUGCCGAUUCCUUCAAGACUUUGUUGCAAGCUCAAAACUUGUAACGACGUUCGAUUCAAGAUCAAGUCGCCAAGACCCUUGAAUCAAUGAAAUUCUACAUCAAUACUCCCUUUGCCGCAACCCUAAACCUGAGGUGAAGACUAUCCAAGCAUUGUUUCAAGCUCAAAACUUGAUGUAAUCGUUCAAUCGUUCGUCCUAGAUCAAGUCAUCACGACCCUUGGAUCAACAACCUACGCAUCUACAUCAAAUUUGAAGACUGAAUUAGAGGAAAAUUGUAAACAGAGAUUGUAACCCUACAAAUUCAUCAAUACAAAUCUACUUUCUACACGUGUUCUCAUUUCAUUCGUUACAGAAUUUUUAUGUUUACACAUGUUACAAAAACUGAUUUUUCUCUCUCAUUGUGAUUACAUGUGAAUUCGGAAAUGACAACUACAACUAAGUAUUAACCAAAGAGCACAUCAAAAUUACACCCAUGUUUGUAACUUUCUUUAAUAGUCAUACAAUUAAAACCCAAAUCCUCAUCAUUGUGUUGGAAAGUACCCUAAGACACACAAAAGCAACAAAAAUAACAAAAAUGACUCUUGUUUGGUUUUUUUUCUCAAACUUUUCUACUUUUUUUUUUUAAUUUUGUUUUUAUGAAACACAAUAAAACACUGUAAAAUAGUGAAUAACAACAUUAGUAGUGAUAGGUGGUGAAAUUAAAAGAUAAGUAAUGAAAAGCAAUUUGUUUAACCCCCUCCCCCCACACACACACUUACACUUAAACCAAACAUUGUCCUCAAUGUUUCAAAAAUAAACUUAAACAAGAAAGCAAUAAAAGAUAACUAGCAGACAAGACAAUCAUGGCAAAGUAAAAACAAUAAAGAGAAUGGCAAAAGAGAGCGAAUCUUGUUGUAGGAGCCAUAAAUUUCAUUGUCUCUUUAUUUGAACACAUGGGUUGCCUCCCAAGAAGCGCUUACUUUAACGUCUUCCAACCGGAUGAUACCUCCACUUAAGCUUCAUUGUGUGAAGGAAAAAUUUUGUCCUAGCUAAGAACAAGUAAGAACAUUUGAAUACAUAUGCAAACUAUUAACACAUUAAAGUAGGCAUGCAUUCAAAACAAUUCAUAAAACCCAUGACUUUCAAAGCCUAGUAUAUGGUGAACCAUUAAACUCUUUAACAACAUUAAAGAGAAGGAAAGAUUUAGAGUUUCUUUACCCUUGAAGCUCAUCCUUGAUUACACAAGGGAUUCACCCAAGUGGAGGGCCUUCAAGUCACCUCCUUGCUUCUUGGAUCUUCCUUGUGAUUUUCCUCCUUUUAGUGCUCCUUUGCUUCUUUGAGGAUUUGUUCUCCAAAACAUCAAAAGCUUGAUGUCUCUAAGUCUUUUCACCAAGGAUGUGAUGUGAAGAUGAAAUGGAUGACUUAGGGAAGAAGAGAUUGCUAGCUAUUCCUUCCCUAGGUGGCCGGCCUCUUUUGAGAAAAUGAGAGAAAAUGUUUCACCUCAUUUCACCAAGAAAAACCAUAAAUGAAAAUAAAGCUAUAAAGUU
rnacentral:lncRNA from 1 species